CUGAUCUGCAUACUCGUGUCUUCUUCGUUUCUCGGUAGGUCAGCUUGUUGUGAGCGUCGUCUGGUUACCGUCUCUGUAAAGUGAGGCAUGUUUGGAGUAAUGCUGACUGUAAUGAAGGAUUUGAGCUCUGUGCUGUUACAGACGGGAAAGACAAUCUGUUGGAUUGGUUGGGUAUCAGAGGUUGUGAUCUUCCCCCUCUUCUCUGAUGUAAACUUCAGGUGAAACCAAAGGAAAAUCACUGAGAUUGAUCUGGAGUCCUGAGUGCCUCCCAGACCAGGCUUGUGUUUAAUUGGACCAGGUUUCCAGUUUGCUCUGGGGCUGAACUGGCAAAUGAAUCCCACUGAUGAGUCCCAGUAAACAAUAACACAAACUGACAUUUGCCAGUGAGGAUCCUGUUGCCAAGAUUUUCAGUGGCAGAAAUAGACAAAGGUAGCCUGUUUUUUUAACUAAAUGUCACAGGAAUCAUGUUGAAGAUGCUCUAGUCCCCUCAUCAGAACAGAUGCACAACAAACGAAGUGAACUUUAAGAGCUCUCAGGAGAAACUGCUUGUGAAUGAACACCAGCCGGCUAAUAACACACUAAUAACGCACUACAUAAAAAUCACAAAUGAGAUCUCAGCUGAUUCGCAUCAAUUUUUUUUUAAGAAAACUGAGAAAAACA